GAGUUUGAUCGUGGCUCAGAUUGAACGCUGGCGGCAUGCCUUACACAUGCAAGUCGAACGGUAACAGGUCUUCGGACGCUGACGAGUGGCGAACGGGUGAGUAAUACAUCGGAACGUGCCCAGUCGUGGGGGAUAACUACUCGAAAGAGUAGCUAAUACCGCAUACGAUCUGAGGAUGAAAGCGGGGGACCUUCGGGCCUCGCGCGAUUGGAGCGGCCGAUGGCAGAUUAGGUAGCUGGUGGGGAUAAAAGCUUACCAAGCCGACGAUCUGUAGCUGGUCUGAGAGGACGACCAGCCACACUGGGACUGAGACACGGCCCAGACUCCUACGGGAGGCAGCAGUGGGGAAUUUUGGACAAUGGGCGAAAGCCUGAUCCAGCAAUGCCGCGUGCAGGAUGAAAGGCCUCGGUU
rnacentral:rRNA from 1 species